rnacentral:misc_RNA from 1 species
UACAGAGGGUGCGAGCGUUAAUCGGAAUGACUGGGCGUAAAGGGUGCGUAGGCGGAUGGAACAGUUAGGUGUGAAAGACCUGGGCUUAACCUAGGAAUUGCAUUUAAUACUAUUCAUCUGGAGUGAAGUAGAGGGUAGUAGAAUUUCCGGUGUAGCGGUGAAAUGCGUAGAUAUCGGAAAGAAUACCGGUGGCGAAGGCGGCUACCUGGACUUCAACUGACGCUGAGGCACGAAAGCGUGGGUAGCGAACAGG